rnacentral:rRNA from 1 species
UACGUAGGGUGCGAGCGUUAAUCGGAAUUACUGGGCGUAAAGCGCUCGCAGGUGGUUCGAUGCGUCGUGCGUGAAAGACCCCGGCUCAACUGGGGGGUGUCGUGCGAUACGGUCGGACUGGAGGCCAGUAGGGGGAUGCGGAAUUCCGGGUGUAGUGGUGGAAUGCGUAGAGAUCCGGAGGAACACCAGCGGCGAAGGCGGCAUCCUGGACUGGUCCUGACACUCAUGAGCGAAAGCGUGGGGAGCGAACAGG